rnacentral:lncRNA from 1 species
CUGAUAGUAUGCGUGCAGAGGGCUAAGCAUGAAUUUCAGAAAAUUUUUAUGCGGAAAGAACGGGUUAAACAUUUUAACCCAUAACAUGCUUGAUAUUUUAGAUAUUUUAACUCUGGUACCAGUCGAAGACAAUCUUCNNNNNNNNNNNACAUGUGGCACGGGCUUAGUCCCAAUACAUAGAGUGACACCCGCACGUGCCUAUCAAAGCACUCAUCAUAUGAGCCCCCGGGUGGAGAGCCACGCUUCGUCACACGAUCAUGCGUGAGAGUUCCCGAGAAUCGGAUAGUCUCCACUAAUCCUUUGCUUUGACACCAAAUAUCACAAAGCCCUCAGAUCCCGAGGAUUGUGUGAUUCGAAUAAAUAUGCGAAAGGGAGAAGAAGGAACGAGAUGGACCUUCACAGCUCAAGAACUCCUUCUUGGGCUUUCACCUUUAGGGCUUCUCUCUCCUCUCACUCUCUUUCUCUAGUGCCAUAAAUCACAACUUCUUGUGAUUUGAAGAUUGAGAUCAUAUCACAACCGGAAAAGAGAUCAGGUCUCUUACCUUUAGAAGGGGGUUCCUUCAAGGAUGCUUCGCAGCCGCACAAGCGUCCGGCCUCGAUGACUCGUCCACGCGAAGCUCCGAAAUGAUCAGCUCCCGGGGAGUGCUAGCUCGCAGGGAGGCAGAAGGUUGGCUGAAAAGGAGAAGGAAGACGAUGGGCCUUCACAGCUCAAGAACUCCUUCUUGGGCUUUCACCUUCAGAGCUACUCUCUCCUCUCACUCUCUUUCUUUG